rnacentral:rRNA from 1 species
AGCGAACGCUGGCGGCAGGCUUAACACAUGCAAGUCGAACGCCCUGGCAACAGGGAGUGGCAGACGGGUGAGUAACGCGUGGGAACGUGCCCUUCGGUUCGGAAUAAUUCAGGGAAACUUGAGCUAAUACCGGAUACGUGCGAGAGCAGAAAGAUUUAUCGCCGAAGGAUCGGCCCGCGUCCGAUUAGCUAGUUGGUGAGGUAACGGCUCACCAAGGCGACGAUCGGUAGCUGGUCUGAGAGGAUGAUCAGCCACACUGGGACUGAGACACGGCCCAGACUCCUACGGGAGGCAGCAGUGGGGAAUAUUGGACAAUGGGCGCAAGCCUGAUCCAGCCAUGCCGCGUGAGUGAUGAAGGCCCUAGGGUUGUAAAGCUCUUUCGCCAGGGACGAUAAUGACGGUACCUGGAUAAGAAGCCCCGGCUAACUUCGUGCCAGCCGCCGCGGUAA